GGGUUAUUUUUUCUACUCAAGUUCUGUGUUGAGCCAUUUUUGGGUCAUUUUUUCAGUGUUUGGGUAGUUUUUGUUUUACUCAGAUCCUAUAGGUCAGACGUAACAAGCCAUUUAGUUAUUUUUUCGCGGGCUUUUUUUGCGACCUUGUCAGAAGAGAGCAGUGCAGCUUGAUGGUGCAUGUCUUCGGUAAAAUACAGCUGCUGAAAUGGAUUUGAUCUCUGUGACCAGACCAGAGGAUUUGACCCCUUUGUUCAGUCACAGGUCACAAAGAAUUUCAACCAGGACUGUGGAAUUCAGGCCUGCGGUCGAUGAGGGUGAACCAGACCCCACUUAAGGGUUCGAUUGGGGACUUCACAGUGACGUGAUAGUUGAAAACCAGACUUCAUGAUCCUGUUUCUGGAGAAAACCAAAUGCAAGGGGCAACUGGAGGUUGUGGUUCUGAGGAACAAACAAGACCAAGCGAAUGUCAAGCUUUUCAGAAGAACACUUAGAUGGAUUUAGGUCAGGAUACAGGCUCUCAUGUGGCAUGUCAUCCAUGCACAAUUUAUCUGUGCUGUCUCAGAGCGUCACUCUGAUGGUGUUUUUAUGUCAUUUCGUUCAGACCUUCUGUCCGGAUUUCUUUUAUGGCCGUGGCUUUCCAACAUUUUGUUUUACUGUUCAUUAGAAAUUCUAAGUAAUAAAUUACCAUGUUUUUAUA